UCGACAAAAGAGAGAAUUUUUCUUUUUUUGUUAUUUUUUUGUUUCACCAAGAAAAAAGAAAGCACAGAACACAAUUUAUUAUAUUGGUACA
rnacentral:ribozyme from 1 species